rnacentral:rRNA from 1 species
CAAAAUCAGUAGCCACCCCACCCAACUUACAAACCCACCCGGUCCACCACCCAAAACACUGGCUAACAUUUUUAGGUUGGGGCGACCUUGGAGAAAAACAAAUCCUCCAAAAACAAGGCCAAAUCCCUUAACUAAGAGCAACCCCUCAACGUGCUAACAGCACCCAGACCCAGCAAGCAAGCCUGACCAAUGAACCAAGCUACCCCAGGGAUAACAGCGCAAUCUCCCCCAAGAGCCCCUAUCGACGAGGAGGUUUACGACCUCGAUGUUGGAUCAGGACAUCCUAGUGGUGCAGCCGCUACUAAGGGUUCGUGUCAACGAUAUCGG